ACUAUUUUGGCAGAAAAGUGUAAUAGAUUUAGAAUCUAUAAAUGUAAUAAUAUUACAAAUAGUA
rnacentral:tRNA from 1 species